rnacentral:misc_RNA from 1 species
AAAGUCGUAACAAGGUUUCCGUAGGUGAACCUGCGGAAGGAUCAUUAACACGAAACUCCACGUUUCAUACCAACCUGUGGUCUUGUAACUUUUAGUUUUUUGGAAACCUCAAGAAGUUUUGUCACAAAAGCUUUUUGAUUUUCAAAGAAUUUUUUAUAUAAAACCCCUUGUAUCAUCUAUUGACUGAACCAAGAGAAGUUUUGAGUACCCUUUAAUCGGGGCGCUCGCUUCUUGAUAUUACGAAACUCUGAACAACUCUAAGCAACGGAUAUCUUGGUUCUC